AGCAGCCGCGGUAAUUCCAGCUCCAAUAGCGUAUAUUAAAGUUGUUGCAGUUAAAAAAGCUCGUAGUUGAACUUCGGGGUUUACCCAUUGGUCAGGCUUAAUUGUCUGUACUGGUGAGAUAAAUCUCUACCUUCUGAGGAACUUUCAUGUCAUUAAUUUGGUGUGAUUGGAAAUCAGGACUGUUACUUUGAAAAAAAUUAGAGUGUUUAAAGCAGGCUAACGUCUGAAUACAUUAGCAUGGAAUAAUGAAAUAGGACGGACUGAUUCUAUUUCGUUGGUUUCUAGGAUCACCGUAAUGAUUAAUAGGGAUAGUUGGGGGCAUUAGUAUUCAAUUGUCAGAGGUGAAAUUCUUGGAUUUAUUGAAGACUAACUACUGCGAAAGCAUUUGCCAAGGAUGUUUUCUAUUAAUCAAGAACGAAAGUUAGGGGAGUCGAAGACGAUCAGAUACCGUCGUAGUCUUAACCAUAAACUAUGCCGACUAGGGAUCGGAUGAUGUUAAUUUUUUAAUGACUCAUUCGGC
rnacentral:rRNA from 1 species